rnacentral:rRNA from 2 species
UUUGGUUAAGUUAGAAAGGGCGCACGGUGGAUGCCUUGACACUAGGAGUCGAUGAAGGACGGGACUAACGCCGAUAUGCUUCGGGGAGCUGUAAGUAAGCUUUGAUCCGAAGAUUUCCGAAUGGGGAAACCCACUAUACGUAAUGGUAUGGUAUCCUUAUCUGAAUACAUAGGGUAAGGAAGACAGACCCAGGGAACUGAAACAUCUAAGUACCUGGAGGAAGAGAAAGCAAAUGCGAUUUCCUGAGUAGCGGCGAGCGAAACGGAACAUAGCCCAAACCAAGAGGCUUGCCUCUUGGGGUUGUAGGACAUUCUAUACGGAGUUACAAAGGAACGAGGUAGACGAAGCGACCUGGAAAGGUCCGUCGUAGAGGGUAACAACCCCGUAGUCGAAACUUCGUUCUCUCUUGAAUGUAUCCUGAGUACGGCGGAACACGUGAAAUUCCGUCGGAAUCUGGGAGGACCAUCUCCCAAGGCUAAAUACUCCCUAGUGAUCGAUAGUGAACCAGUACCGUGAGGGAAAGGUGAAAAGCACCCCGGAAGGGGAGUGAAAGAGAUCCUGAAACCGUGUGCCUACAAAUAGUCAGAGCCCGUUAACGGGUGAUGGCGUGCCUUUUGUAGAAUGAACCGGCGAGUUACGAUCCCGUGCGAGGUUAAGCUGAAGAGGCGGAGCCGCAGCGAAAGCGAGUCUGAAUAGGGCGUUUAGUACGUGGUCGUAGACCCGAAACCAGGUGAUCUACCCAUGUCCAGGGUGAAGUUCAGGUAACACUGAAUGGAGGCCCGAACCCACGCACGUUGAAAAGUGCGGGGAUGAGGUGUGGGUAGCGGAGAAAUUCCAAUCGAACCUGGAGAUAGCUGGUUCUCCCCGAAAUAGCUUUAGGGCUAGCCUUAAGUGUAAGAGUCUUGGAGGUAGAGCACUGAUUGGACUAGGGGUCCUCAUCGGAUUACCGAAUUCAGUCAAACUCCGAAUGCCAAUGACUUAUCCUUAGGAGUCAGACUGCGAGUGAUAAGAUCCGUAGUCAAAAGGGAAACAGCCCAGACCGCCAGCUAAGGUCCCAAAGUGUGUAUUAAGUGGAAAAGGAUGUGGAGUUGCUUAGACAACUAGGAUGUUGGCUUAGAAGCAGCCACCAUUUAAAGAGUGCGUAAUAGCUCACUAGUCGAGUGACUCUGCGCCGAAAAUGUACCGGGGCUAAAUACACCACCGAAGCUGCGGAUUGAUACCGAAUGGUAUCAGUGGUAGGGGAGCGUUCUAAGGACAGUGAAGUCAGACCGGAAGGACUGGUGGAGUGCUUAGAAGUGAGAAUGCCGGUAUGAGUAGCGAAAGACGGGUGAGAAUCCCGUCCACCGAAUGCCUAAGGUUUCCUGAGGAAGGCUCGUCCGCUCAGGGUUAGUCAGGACCUAAGCCGAGGCCGACAGGCGUAGGCGAUGGACAACAGGUUGAUAUUCCUGUACCACCUCUUUAUCGUUUGAGCAAUGGAGGGACGCAGAAGGAUAGAAGAAGCGUGCGAUUGGUUGUGCACGUCCAAGCAGUUAGGCUGAUAAGUAGGCAAAUCCGCUUAUCGUAAAGGCUGAGCUGUGAUGGGGAAGCUCCUUAUGGAGCGAAGUCUUUGAUUCCCCGCUGCCAAGAAAAGCUUCUAGCGAGAUAAAAGGUGCCUGUACCGCAAACCGACACAGGUAGGCGAGGAGAGAAUCCUAAGGUGUGCGAGAGAACUCUGGUUAAGGAACUCGGCAAAAUGACCCCGUAACUUCGGGAGAAGGGGUGCUUUCUUAACGGAAAGCCGCAGUGAAUAGGCCCAAGCGACUGUUUAGCAAAAACACAGCUCUCUGCGAAGCCGUAAGGCGAAGUAUAGGGGGUGACACCUGCCCGGUGCUGGAAGGUUAAGGAGAGGGGUUAGCGUAAGCGAAGCUCUGAACUGAAGCCCCAGUAAACGGCGGCCGUAACUAUAACGGUCCUAAGGUAGCGAAAUUCCUUGUCGGGUAAGUUCCGACCCGCACGAAAGGUGUAACGAUUUGGGCACUGUCUCAACCAGAGACUCGGUGAAAUUAUAGUACCUGUGAAGAUGCAGGUUACCCGCGACAGGACGGAAAGACCCCGUGGAGCUUUACUGUAGCCUGAUAUUGAAUUUUGGUACAGUUUGUACAGGAUAGGCGGGAGCCUUUGAAACCGGAGCGCUAGCUUCGGUGGAGGCGCUGGUGGGAUACCGCCCUGACUGUAUUGAAAUUCUAACCUACGGGUCUUAUCGACCCGGGAGACAGUGUCAGGUGGGCAGUUUGACUGGGGCGGUCGCCUCCUAAAGUGUAACGGAGGCGCCCAAAGGUUCCCUCAGAAUGGUUGGAAAUCAUUCGUAGAGUGCAAAGGCAUAAGGGAGCUUGACUGCGAGACCUACAAGUCGAGCAGGGACGAAAGUCGGGCUUAGUGAUCCGGUGGUUCCGCAUGGAAGGGCCAUCGCUCAACGGAUAAAAGCUACCCCGGGGAUAACAGGCUUAUCUCCCCCAAGAGUCCACAUCGACGGGGAGGUUUGGCACCUCGAUGUCGGCUCAUCGCAUCCUGGGGCUGUAGUCGGUCCCAAGGGUUGGGCUGUUCGCCCAUUAAAGCGGUACGCGAGCUGGGUUCAGAACGUCGUGAGACAGUUCGGUCCCUAUCCGUCGUGGGCGUAGGAAAUUUGAGAGGAGCUGUCCUUAGUACGAGAGGACCGGGAUGGACGCACCGCUGGUGUACCAGUUGUUCUGCCAAGGGCAUAGCUGGGUAGCUAUGUGCGGAAGGGAUAAGUGCUGAAAGCAUCUAAGCAUGAAGCCCCCCUCAAGAUGAGAUUUCCCAUAGCGUAAGCUAGUAAGAUCCCUGAAAGAUGAUCAGGUUGAUAGGUUCGAGGUGGAAGCAUGGUGACAUGUGGAGCUGACGAAUACUAAUAGAUCGAGGACUUAACCAUAUAA